AGCCCAUUGGUCGCCCAAACCCCACAGCCGCACGCCCCCGCCUCCUUCCUCCCUCACUCGUCUCAGCCGCACGAACCCUAGCCUCCGCCCCACCCGCAUCUGUCCUCCAUCCCUGGUACGAGCUCUUUCUCCUGUGUUUAUGUCCGCCCCGAGCUCUUCCUCCUCAGUCCUCACAUGCUCCACGCCGAGCCCCGCCUUUUCCACCCCACCCGAACUUUGCCUUGUCCGUUCGCGCACCAGUUCAAAGGGCAGGGCCAGAGAGCCGUGGCGAGUCCUCGGGAGAGGAGAAGAAGGCAAAGGCGGAGAAGAGGAAUCAAGAAGGUCAGGGGGCAAUGGAGGGAGCGCACGGCCGAACGUACCCUAGCCAGCUAGCCCCAAACCCGCAGCUACCACAAUCCUCCCUCCUCACUUCCUCGUCAACAUAGGUGCCCGCGCCCCUCCCCUCUCCCUCCUUCCCGCAGCCCCAGGAGCUCCGCCACCGCAUUCGAUGAGGUCCACCGCCUCCCCGAGGUCCUUAUCCACCCUAGGUCACGAGGAAGCCGCGGAAGGAGGAGACCAGCUGGGCGUCAUCGGCCGGAGAAGGAGGAGAGGUGUGGAUGCCAGCCAAGGAGGCAGAUCGGCAUGCCUCUACUUCACCGUGAGCAUAGCCGCUGCCUCCACACCCAUCAUGGGAGGAGGCUCACCAUCGAAGAGCAGCCGCAGGUGCCACAACAUUACAAGAGCUGCAGUCAGUAUGAGGUGAUGAUGGGUCGCCCCAUUGACAAGAGCAGGGCGGUGGAUUGGAUCGAGGGUGCCUGCAUGGCCACGCCACCACUGCCGCCUGGAGUCGCCUUUGGCGCCGCCUCGAGUGACCUCCAUCUCCGCCCCGACUCAACUCCACCACUGCCGCCAGGAAUCCCGUCCCCAGCGAGGGAGUGAGUCAAGUGACAUAUAGACACAAGAAAUAUUUAGUUAUGAGGAUUGAAGAAAUUAAUGAUCAUUCAGUCAUUGAGGAUUUGAGAAGAGGCAUCAAUGCUCUAGUAGAGAUGUUAUUGAAGUUGUGGCUGUCAAUAGUCCUUUUAUUGAUGCUAAGUACAUGUAUGAAUCCAGUCAUGGCCCCUUUAAAGGAUCCAUUAAGAUCGUGGAUGAUUCAGUAUUGGAGAUUAAUGUGAAAAGAUCACAACCAUGGGCGAAAGAGGGAAAGGAGAAGUCUGAAUGCGCCAACAAGUAGCGACGAAUGAGCUGUCGUCUAUGGAUUGGUUAAGGGAGGAGUUGUCUUGCGCUACAAGGGCAUCUUGCAGAUCGAUUUCCUUGGUUUGAUGUGUCUCAGAUUCUAAUUAGUAUUUAAUUUCCUCAGUUUUAACUUAUAACCGGACAAAAAUUUUUAUUGCACCUAAAUAUUUGAUUAUGAAUCUAAGUUAUGGGAAAUAGGUGGAGUAAAAGGAAAUGAGGCGUUGUUCGAUGGGGCCUUGCCACGGUUGCCUUGAGUUUUCGCAUCGAAGCACCACUUUGUAUGGCUGGCCUUCCAUGGCUACAUCGAGGGUCCCAAUGUGCAGUGUUGUCAGGUGAUAAUCAUUCUUGGCAGUGAUUAUUGUUGUGGAUGGGAUAUUGAUGCAGACAUACCACGAAGGGAAGAUCUGCCUCACUGUGCACUUCAGGCGCGCGCACACUAGCGAUGGUACAGGAUUGGCUUCCUGGUGGAAUCAGGUGCGCGUCGUCCAUGGUGGCCUGUCGUGGGUGUUGGUGGGCCGCUGGAGGCGGCUGUAGCAGGCUCUAGAAUCUCUAAGGUUGCUCCUUCUAUGUUCCUUUGGUCAAGCACAGAGGAAUGAGGAAUGGAUAGAGGAGGCAUGGCGUAAGCGUAGGGGUCAGCCAGGGCAUGACGCAGGAGUCUGCCCAUCUCCUCUCAAAGACCUACUAUGAUGCAUAUUUGAAAGAGUGCAUCUAUUGUUUCAGCUGAAAAUUGAUCUCUAUUUGAAGGAGUGCAUCUAUUGUGCAUCUACACAAGAAGACAGUGUGCUGUUUUUUAUUCCAUGCUCCAAAUAUUUCAUGUCUGAUUCAUAGACAUCCUUGAAUUGGAUAAUGAUGAUGGCAUGUUUGGUGUUCAUAUUUUUGUCAGCCAAAUAAUAAUAGGUGCACUUGAUUGGUUGACGAAAUGCCAACUGAAAACUAAAUUCAGUUAGAAUUAGAUUUUUGCA